rnacentral:rRNA from 1 species
AAUUUUGGAUAAUUGGGGCAACCCUGAUCCAGCCAUCCCGCGUGUGCGAUAAAGGCCUUCGGGUUGUAAAGCACUUUUUGCAGGGAAGAAAAGGCACUGGCUAAUACCUGUAGCUGCUGACGCUACCUGCAGAACAAGCACCGGCUAACUACGUGCCAGCAGCCGCGGUAAUACGUAGGGUGCAAGCGUUAAUAGGAAUGUCUGGGCGUAAAGCGUGCGCAGGCGGAUCGGCAAGAAGGAAGUGAAAUACCAGGGCUUAACCUUGGAACUGCAUUCUUAACUGCCGGGCUAGAGUAUGUCAGAGGGGGGUAGAAUUCCGCGUGUAGCAGUGAAAUGCGUAGAGAUGCGGAGGAAUACCGAUGGCGAAGGCAGCCCCCUGGGAUAAUACUGACGCUCAUGCACGAAAGCGUGGGGAGCAAAC